GAAAACGACUCGCUCGGAGCAGCAUUCGAUAGCCUGAUACGCAAAUACAAAAUUGAGAAAUUGGUCGCUCUGAAUUUUCCGCCCAGAAAAGAACACCUCAGGAGCCAGGACCUCCCUCAUUCGUUCAGAAAUUCGAUCGAACAACAGGGGUGAUAUUUCCUACAAAUUUGUGGGUUUUCAGGACAACUUACAAUGGCAGGAAGACAUCGUGUUCCACGUGAAGCGAUGAAUGACCGGCGUGGUUAUCCUUUUGAAGGACCUUAUGGCCGAGGUCCUCCUAUGCGGUCUCUUCCCCAUCCUGCAAUGUUGGAGGAAGAACUUGAAAUGCAACAUGCAGAAAUUCGGAGACUCUUGGCUGAUAACCGGAGGCUGGUUGAGGACCGGAUGGCGUUACAGCAUGAGCUUGGUGCUGCCAAGGAAGAAAUUCAUCGGAUGAAUGUUGCCUUUUCAGAUAUUCGUGCCGAAGAAGAAAUGAAAUCAAGGGAGCUCUAUGAGAAAAGUAGGAAAUUGGAGGCUGAUCUACAGGCAACUGAACCCUUGAAAAAUGAGGCUAAGCAACUUCGCUCUGAAGUUCAGAAGCUGAAUACUGUUAGGAAGGAACUUGCCACACAAGUUCAGACCCUCACGCAGGACCUUGCGAGGUUGCGGUCUGACAAUAAGCAGAUUCCUAUGCUGAGGACUGAGAUUGAUGGUCUGCAUCAGGAGCUUAUGUUUUGUCGAAAUGCGGUCGAUUAUGAAAAGAAGGCAAAUAUUGAGCUUAUGGAGCAAAGACAGGCAAUGGAGAAGAACCUAGUUUCUAUGGCACGUGAAGUUGAAAAACUACGCGCAGAACUUUCUAGGGCUGAUGGUAGACCAUGGGGUACAGGUGGACAAUAUGGUAUGAAUUUCACCAGCCCAGAAGGGGCUUUUCCUGCUGCAUAUGGAGAUGGAUAUGGGAUGCACAUGGGUGCUGCUGACAAAGGGCCUAUGUAUGGCCUGGGUCCAGCUUCAUGGGGAGGUUCCGAAAAGCCUCGCAUGACUCGUCGCUGACAUCUGGGUGAUUAUUGUUUCAAUGACAGAGUUAUACAUGCCACCUUUGGUUGCUCGUCAUCUGAGCCUAAGUGGUCAAGAAGCUUUAGCAUCUAUGCAUGCACAGCAGCUCAGUACUCAGUAGCCGCUUAUUUUUCUCAAUACAUUAUGGAAGGCACGUAUUCAAAUGCAUUAAACAAAUAUUGAGUGGACCUGCUGUUCCGGAGGAGAAUAGACGUAAAUGUGAUUUAUACAAGAGGUUGGUUUGACUUAAAGACUGAUGGAAGAAAAUAUCUUACCCCGUUGUUGAAAUUGGUGAUAAUAGCAGAGUCUAUGCAACCUGUUAAUGUUGUUGAAGACUCGAAGGUGUAAGGAUGCCCCAUGCAGGUUGUCAUUUCCGUUAGUGAGUGCAUGCUUCCCAUCUCCUUUACUUGAGUUCAGAUACACUUGCUAGGCAAUUCGAUGUUAACCUUUUUGACAAAGAAAACUGUCAUAUAACUGAUUUUUCAACAUAGCAAAAUAGAGGAAUCAUGUGUCUUACUGGAGCUUGUAAAUAUGGAUUUCACCUUCCGCCUUACUCUCACUUGUCAAAUAGGCGAUUGAUUGGAGCAUCUUUUGUCCGGUCAUAUUGUCAUUCAUAUUUUUGAAGUUUUAGGUGCGACCUUGUACUUUGCUGUACAACAAUGAUAUGAUUGGUUGCAGGGCUAUUCUUCUUUCAUAUACGCAUUUUGUAUAAUAUUCAACAUCCUUUUCAAUUGUCUUCCAUUGCUAAUUCACCAAUGACCCUUUGGUUUUUCUCUUUUCUGUAUCAUCGGUAUUUACUUCUCAUAUCUGUUUUGCAAGUCUUUGAGUUUAAUUUAGAUUAGAAGGUUAAAUAGUUUUAACAGUUGAGAUUAAUUCAGACUUGCAGGUUAAUUUUCUCCCUAAAAGAAGGGGUGUAAUUUGGCUGUCCUGCUUGCUCCCAUGCACUCCUCUCCUGAUUGUGGCCGGCCACCCGGUGACACGAUCUUCUCACAGUAUGCUGCCACUGAUGGACGACAUCUUGAAGAUGUUGUGGAUGGAUUUACUAGGUCAAUCCCAGAAAUGCUCAUGCCAGUUGAAGUAGGGGAACCUUCAAGGCAGUAAAAAUCAUAUCAACGCAGCUCCGUUUUGUUGGUCAAAGCAAUCCUAAAAUGCAGCCUAUCUUCUGAUUCUGAGAUUCCGGCUUACAGUAGCACAGAACUGUCAACAUUUUCAGUCUCGGAGGAUAGAAUUUCAUCCGGCAUUUGAAUGCCGGAUUCCGGAUUCCAACAAAGUGGCAACUGCCAUUUGCCUGACCUGAAAGUAACUGCAGCUGUUAGGUAGAACCGUACAAGUAAUACAACAGAGGAAUUAAUUGUCUACAAAACUAAUCACACCUUCAAUUUUGCUUGAAAAAAAAAGAAGCAGCAACUAAUAUAAGUAGCCGGAAAAGAAAUUAGAGCGGAUAUGCUCUCACUAUGCAUCCGAGUUUCAAUCUCCCUUCUCGCAGUUAUGAUUAGUUUAAUUAAAAUGUCAUUAGCGAGCUUACUCUAUCUAGAAAAAGUUUCAACGGAACAUUGGCAACAACUUUUUGGAUUAAUUUAAUUCUCCAUCCUUCAA